rnacentral:lncRNA from 1 species
GACUGGGCCGGAACGGCUGGAGUUCUCGGGUGCCCAGCCGGGCGCUCCCUCAGCCCAGUUCGCCACGUCAGCGAGCGGCCAGAGCCACAGAUGAUGACUGAGUCUCCGAGGCCUCUCGGUCUUUUUCUAUUUUAACAGGGGCGCGUGCAGAGCGUGGUAAGUGGGAGGGGCUUCGUGUCAAAAGUAAAAGAACCCAGUCGGUGCCACAGGCCCCGCUGUGCUGUGCUGGCUACAAACCCGGCCGGGGCUGCACUGCUUGGCCAGGCGCCCCCCCGCGCCGCCCGGUCCCGCCGCACCCUAGGCAGCUGCCUUGCCACCGUGUGACCCGGGAAGUCUGCGCCUCCAGCUUCACUCACAAGCCAGUAGCUCCAGAAACUAGUCCUGGGACCUUACACCUUGAGACCAGUUUUUAGACUUUGGCGCCUGUCACCUACUGUAGAUGAUGCGUUUUAUAUCGCAACCGAGUACAUAACGUCCAGCAGAACCACGUUCUUACUAUGUAAUGCACUUAAAAACGCUGGUGGCAGCUCACUAUAUUGGAUUAGCUUCACCAUCCGCUGCUGGGCCGUCUCCUUUCUGCUUAGGAAGGAAGUUGAAAACAUCAAAAGUGCACGGCGCGCGCUUCUGUGGUCCCAGCUACUCGGAAGACCGAGGUGGGAGGAUCUCUUGAGACCAGGGCUUCCAGACCAGCCUGGGCACCGUGGCGAGACUCCGUCUCUUUAAAUAAAUAGCAAUCAUGCAGGCAGUAGGAAAAUAAACAAAAGAGGAAAAACUAUCUUGUUCCAAGUCACAGUCCAGGCCGGGCGCGGUGGCUCACUCCUGUAAUCCCCACACUUUGAGAAGCCGAGGCGGGUGGUUCACCCGAGGUCAGGAGUUCAGACCAGCCUAACAUAGCGAAACCUCGUCUCUACUAAAAAUACAAAAUUAGCCGGGCAUGGUGGCCCAUGCCUGUAAUCCCAAUUACUUGGGAGGCUGAGGCAGGAUAAUCGCUUGAACCCGGGAGGUGUAGGUUGCAGUGAGUCAAGAUCGCGCCAUUGCACUCCAGCCUGGGCAACAAGAGCGAAACUCUAUCUCAAACAAAAAGUCACGGUCCAAAUCAGUACCCUAAGUCAGGUCCCUGAACUCGUCAAUGCCAAGCCAGCCAUUCCACCUUAAGGAACUCUGGUUCCAUCCCCAGACUCAACACAAGCCCAAGAAUAAGCAGAUUCCACCCAAUUCUUCAACAGUCCCUUCCCUCGCGUGUUCCAGUUCUGACCUGCAGGAGCAGGGCAGGGAAAAAACCAAAACCAGGAUUCAAACAUUGACAAACUAACAAGAAGCAUCAACCCCAAGAUAGUUCAAAGCCUCUGAGAUAUUUGAAUGAAGCAAACCCUAACAGUUCAGCUGUCAAUACCGAAAAAGUACCAAAAACU